UACGGAGGGUGCAAGCGUUAUCCGGAUUCACUGGGUUUAAAGGGUGCGUAGGUGGGUUGGUAAGUCAGUGGUGAAAUCCCCGAGCUUAACUUGGGAACUGCCAUUGAUACUAUCAGUCUUGAAUACUGUGGAGGUUAGCGGAACAUGUCAUGUAGCGGUGAAAUGCUUAGAUAUGACAUAGAACACCAAUUGCGAAGGCAGCUGGCUACACAAAUAUUGACACUGAGGGACGAAAGCGUAGGGAGCAAACAGG
rnacentral:rRNA from 1 species